rnacentral:rRNA from 1 species
UUUAGAGAUAGAGGGUGCUCGAAAGAGAGCCGUAACACAGGUGCUGCAUGGCUGUCGUCAGCUCGUGUCGUGAGAUGUUGGGUUAAGUCCCGCAACGAGCGCAACCCUUGUCAUUAGUUGCUACAUUCAGUUGGGCACUCUAAUGAGACUGCCGGUGACAAGCCGGAGGAAGUGGGAUGACGUCAAGUCCUCAUGGCCCUUAUAGGUGGGGCUACACACGUCAUACAAUGGCUGGUACAAAGGGUCGCCAACCCGCGAGGGGGAGCCAAUCCCAUAAAGCCAUUCGUAGUCCGGAUCGCAGUCUGCAACUCGACUGCGUGAAGUCGGAAUCGCUAGUAAUCGUGGAUCAGAAUGUCACGGUGAAUACGUUCCCGGGUCUU